rnacentral:snoRNA from 1 species
CAUGUCGAGAGGCGAGAUCAUCUCUCAAGUUCUGGCCGGCCUCGACAUCGACUACAACCCGGUCGUGCCGUCUCUUGCUAUGCGGGUUGAACCUGUGUCUGUACAGGAGUUGUACACCCAGCUUCUCAGUUUUGACG